rnacentral:rRNA from 1 species
UACGUAGGGGCUAGUGGUUGUCCGGAUUUAUUGGGCGUAAAGAGCGUGUAGGCGGCCAGGUAGGUCUGCUGUGAAAACUCGAGGCUCAACCUCGAGACGUCGGCGGAAACCAUCUGGCUAGAGUCCGGAAGAGGAGAGUGGAAUUCCUGGUGUAGCGGUGAAAUGCGCAGAUAUCAGGAAGAACACCCGUGGCGAAGGCGGCUCUCUGGGACGGUACUGACGCUGAGACGCGAAAGCGUGGGGAGCGAACAGG